rnacentral:lncRNA from 1 species
UGCAUUUCAUUUCAUAAUUAAUAAUGAAUUCUAAUACACGUGUUUUUGGAGCAUGAUAACUAGGAAUUAUAUCUGAUUUACCUCAGUGUGUAUCAUGGCUUCUACUUAUCUGGGAUCAUUAGGACUUAGAUACUAACGUAAAAGUUAUAGUCCCUCUGGUAAUGCGUAAGGGCAUCAAGGCAUUGACAAGGCUUUCUU